GAUGAACGCUGGCGGCGCGCCUAAUACAUGCAAGUCGAGCGAACAGACGAGGAGCUUGCUCCUCUGACGUUAGCGGCGGACGGGUGAGUAACACGUGGAUAACCUACCUAUAAGACUGGGAUAACUUCGGGAAACCGGAGCUAAUACCGGAUAAUAUAUUGAACCGCAUGGUUCAAUAGUGAAAGACGGUUUUGCUGUCACUUAUAGAUGGAUCCGCGCCGCAUUAGCUAGUUGGUAAGGUAACGGCUUACCAAGGCAACGAUGCGUAGCCGACCUGAGAGGGUGAUCGGCCACACUGGAACUGAGACACGGUCCAGGCUCCUACGGGAGGCAGCAGUAGGGAAUCUUCCGCAAUGGGCGAAAGCCUGACGGAGCAACGCCGCGUGAGUGAUGAAGGUCUUCGGAUCGUAAAACUCUGUUAUUAGGGAAGAACAAAUGUGUAAGUAACUAUGCACGUCUUGACGGUACCUAAUCAGAAAGCCACGGCUAACUACGUG
rnacentral:rRNA from 1 species